rnacentral:rRNA from 1 species
CAAUAGCGUAUUCUAACGUUGCUGCAGUUAAAAGGCUCGUAGUCGAACCUAUGGCCCUCGCAGGGCUGGCCCCGUGCCAAGCGCACGCGUGUUUUGCCGGCUUUCCUGCGAGCCAUCUUUUCUGGAGAGCGCCCCUGCCCUUGACUGGUGCCGGGUGGUGUGAUCCAGAUCUUUUACUGUGAGUAAAUCAGAGUGCUCAAAGCAGGCUUUUUGCAGCUUGUAUGCAUUAGCAUGGAAUAAUGAGAUAGGACUUUGGUCUGUUCCUGCUCCUUCGGGGGUGGGCUGUUUCGUUGGCUUCCAGGAUCAAAGUAAUGAUGAAGAGGGAUAGUUGGGGGUGCUAGUAUUCAGUGGUCAGCGGUGAAAUGCAUGGACCCACUGAAGACUAACUCAUGCGAAAGCAUUCACCAAGGAUAUCUUCUUUGA